UUAAGAAGGGCCAGUCAGGACAGGUGAUGCUGGCAGGAAGGGAGCCAGCCUGCGACGUGCUGGGAAGACAGGCAGAGAGACUAUACGUUCAAAGGGUGUGAGGCAGGCAUGAGUUUGCAGAAAGUGUGCCAAGGGCCUGGAGCAGAUGCAUCAGUGCUAUUCUGGAGGCCCAAAUCACACAUGAUUCCGUGAAAGAAACUCUGUGCUGGCCAGAGGAUGCACUCACUCUCCAGGCUUUCCUGCAUGGGCCCUCACCAUGGAGUCCUGGAUACUUAGGGCAUCUGGUUGACCACAUGCUCGGGAGAGCACCAAAGAAGGUCCUGGUUUUCAAGCCUCCAGCUUCUCCUUAGAAAGAGUUGACUACCUGUCUGGGCUCCAACUUUUCUGGCUGCUACCAGAGGGUCUGGCCUCUAAACCAUCUGUGUCAAAGAACUGACAGGGCCUGACAUUCAUUGGGACCCUAGGGGUGACAGAGAGCAAAGCAAAAGUUUGAAAGAGUAUGCAGUCUGAAUGAGCAUGCAGGCCUUUGCCACAGCUCCCCUUCCCAGCUCAGUGCAGAGCAAGUAGGAGAUAAACUUCUGCUCUUAGCUUCUCUGUGAGGAGAGAUGAAAUGGACCACACAUCUAGCACCCCAACUUUUCUGACAACUACUAGAAGGACUGACUCCUGACUCACCUGUCUCAGGGCACUGAUGGUACUUGGCACACUCUAGUCUCCUGGGGCCACCAAGGACAAGAACAGCAUUUUGGACAAACACACUGGUUUGAGAGGCACCCAGACUCUCUGACUGGGCUGUGAGGAGGCUCAUCUGUGAAGACUGAGGGAGGUGGCUGUUUUAUCAAAUGUGCAGAAACCAACACAGAAAGUCAAAGACAAUGAACAAACAGGAAAUAUGCCAUAAAUAAAAGAACAAGAUAAAUCUUCAGAAACUGACCCAAACAGAAUGGAGAUAUGUGAUUUACCAGACAAAAAAUCAAAUGACCUGUCACAAAGAUGCUCAGAGAGGUCAGGAGAGCAAUGCAUGAAUAAAGUGAGAAUUUCAACCAAAAAGGUAGAAAAUAUUAAAAAGUGCCAAACAGAAAUCACGGAGCUGAAGAAUAUAAUAAAAGAACAGAAAAAUUUAAUAGAGGGGUUCAAUAGCAGACUAGGUGAACUGAAAGAAAGGAUUAGUGAACUCAAGGACUGGUCAUUGGCAAUCAUUCAGUCACAGCAUUAAAAAGAAAAAAGAAUGAAGGGCCAGGCACGGUGGCUCACACCUGUAAUCCCAACACUUUGGGAGGCUGAGGUGGGUGGAUCACGAGGUCAGGAGAUCGAGACCAUCCUGGCUAACAUGGUGAAACCCAUCUCUACUAAAAAUACAAAAAAAUUAGCUGGGUGUGGUGGCACGCACCUGUAAUCCCAGCUACUCGGGAGGCUGAGGCAGGAGGAUUACUUGAACCUGGGAGGCUGAGGUUGCAGUGAGCUGAGAUUGCGCCACUGCACUCAAGCCUGGGCAACAGAGCGAGACUCUGUCUCAAAAGAAAAAGAAAGAGAGAGAGAAGAAAAGAAAAAAGAAUGAAAAACAGUGAAGAUACCUUUAAAAACUUAUGAACACCACCCAGCAGAUCUAUAUAUGCAUUACGAGACACUCAGACAUUAUGAUAUCAGUAACACAGAAUGUGGAAUAAGGAGAGGUAAAAUUGCAGAGUACUUCUAUAGAAGUGUUAUCAGUUUAACCUGUUAUAAAUAUAUGUUAUGUAAGCCCCUGGUAACCACAAAGAAACUACCUAUAGAAAUGACACAAAAGAAAAAAAGUUACAAAGCCUAUCAAUGCAAAACAGCACAACAAAAACAGGCAAACAAAACCCAACAAUAAAACACAAAGGAAGACAGCAAGAGAGAAAAAGAGGGACAAAAGAACUACAAGACAAACAGAAAACAGUUUAAAAAAAAUGGCAAUAUGGUGGUUCAUGCCUGUAAUCCCAACACUUAGGAAGGCCGAGACGAGCAGAUCACUUGAGGUCAGGAGUUUGAGACCAACCUGGCCAACAUGGUGAAACCUGGUCUCUACUAGAAAUACACAAAAUUUAGCCAGGUGUAGUGGCAGGAGCCUGUAAUCCAGCUACUCGGGAGGCUGAACCACAAGAAUUGCUUGAACCUGGGAGGCAGAGGUUGCAGUGAACUGAGAUUGUACCACUGCACUCCAGCCUGGACAACAGAGCAAGACUCUGUCUCAAAAAAAAAAAGGCAAUACUAAAUCUUGCCCUAUCAAUAAUUAUUGAGUGUGGCGGCUUAUGUCUGUAAUCCCAGCACUCUGGGAGGCCAAGGCAGGUAGAUCACUUGAGACCAGGAGUUCAAGACCAGCCUGGCCAACAUGAUGAAGCCCCAUCUCUACUAAAAAAUACAGAAAUUAGCAGGGUGUGGUGGCAUGUGCCUGUAAUCCCAGCUACUUGGGAGGCUGAGGCAGAGAAUAGCUUGAACCUGGGAAGUGGAGGCAGCAGUGAGCCAAGAUCACACCGCUGCACUCCAGGCUGGGCAACAGAGCAAGACUGCAUCUCAAAUAAUAAUAAUAAUAGUAAUAAUUACUUAAAAUGUAAAUGGAUUGGCCAGGUUCAUGCCUGUAAUCUCAGCACUUUGGGAGGCUGAGUCAGGAGGAUCACGAGGUCAGGAGUUCAAGACCAGCCUGGCCAACAUGGUGAAACCCCAUCUCUACUAAAAAUACAAAAAUUAGCUGGGCAUGGUGGUGGGCACCUGUAGUCCCAGCUACUAGGGAGGCUGAGGCAGGACAAUUGCUUAACCGGGAUCUGGGAGGUGGAGAUUGUAGUGAGCCGAGAUCACACCACUGCACUCCAGCCUGGGCGACAGAGCGAGUCUCCAUCUCAAAAAAAAAAAAAAAAAAGAAGAAGAAAGAAAGAUCUCAAGUAAAUUGAGCUAAUGUCGUACCUUAAGGAACUAGAAAAAGAACAAACUAAGCCCAAAGUUAGCAGAAGAAAAGAAAUUACAAAGAUCAGAGCAGAAAUAAGUAGGGAAUAGAAAAGCAAUAGAAAAACCCUGCAAAAUCAGAGGUUGUUUGUUUGUUUGUUUGUUUGAGAUGAAGUCUCAUUCUUGUCCCACAGGCUGGAGUGCAAUGGCACAAUCUCGGCUCACUGCAACCACUGCCUACCGGGUUCAAGCAAUUCUCCUGCCUCAGCCCCCCGAGUAGCUAGGAUUACAGGCACCUGCCACCACGCCCAGCUAAUUUUUGUAUUUUUAAGUAGAGACGGGGUUUCACCAUGUUGGCCAGGCUGGUCUCGAACUGCUGACCUCAGGUGAUCUGCCCGCCUUGGCCUCCCAAAGUGCUGGGAUUAUAGGCAUGAGCCACCGUGCCUGGCCCAGAGUUGUUUUCUUUAAAAAAGGUAAAUAAAAUCAACAUGCCCUUAGACAAACAAAAAAAAAAAAAAAAGGAAGAAUGGAUUCAAAUAAAUGAAAUAAAAAAUGAGAGAAGACAUUACAAUGGAUAUCUGAGAAAUAAAAAGGAUCAUAAAAGACCAUUAUGAACAAUUAUAUGCCAACAUAUUGGAUAAAGUAGAAGAAAUGGAUACAUUCCUAGAAGCAUGCAACCUACCAAGACUUAAUCAAGAAGCAACAGAAAACCUUAACAGAUGAGUUACAAAUAAGGAGAUUGAGGCAUUAAUCAAAAACCUCCCAAAAAAGAAAAAUCGAUGGCUUUCAUGGAUUCAAAGAAUUAUUAAUACUUCUUAAACUCUUCUAAAAAUAGAAAAAGAGGAAACACUUCCAAACUCAUUUUAUGAGGUCAGCAUUACCCUGAUACCAGAACCAAAGAAACCACAAGAAAAGAAAACCACAUGCCAAUAUCUCUGAUGAAUAUAGAUGCAAAAAUCCUCAAUAAAAUAUUAGCAAAGUGAAUUCAUUAGCACACUAAAAAGUUUAUACAUUGUGACUAAAGUGGGAUUUAUCCCUGGGAUGCAGGUUUGGUUCAAUAUAUGCAAAUAAGUCAAUGUAAUACACCACAUUAACAGAAGGAAAGAUUAAAAAAAAAUGACCAUCUCAAUAGAUGCAGAAAAUAUUUGAAAAAAAUCAAUAUCCAUUUAUAACAAAAACUCUAAACAAAAUAUGUAUGGAAGGAACUUACCUUAAUCCAAUAAAGACCAAUUAGGAAAAGUCUAUAACUAACAUCAUAAUAAUUGAAGAAAAAUUAAAAGCUUUUCCUUUCUUGGUCUCACCAUGUCUAUUCAACACAGUGCUAGAAGUUCUAGCCAGAUAAAUUAGAUAGGAAAAAGAAAUAAAAAAUAUCCAACUUAAAAAGAAACAAGGAAAAUUGUCUGUUUCUGGGUGACAUGGUCCUACAUGUAGAAAAUCCUAAUAAUUCCAUUAAAAAAUCAGAACUGAUAAAUUUAGUAAAUUUUUAAGAUACAAAAUCAAUAUACAAAAAUUAAUAGCAUUUCCUUAUACCAACAUUGAAAUAUCUAAAAAGGAAAUCAAGGAACAAUCUCAUUUACAAUAGCAUAAAAAUAUUUAGAAAUAAAUUUAACCAAGGAGGUGAAAAAGAAUUUGUACACUGAAAAUUAUAAAACACUAAUGAAAAAAAUUGAAGAAGACACAAAGAAAUGGAACGAUAUCUCAUCUUAAUUAAUUGGAAGAAUUAAUAUUGUGUAAACACUUAUACUGCCCAAAGUGACCUACAUGUUGAAUGCAAUCCCUAUCAAAAUUCUAAGGGCAUUUUUCUCAGAAAUAGGAAAACAAUUCUGAAAUUUAUAUGGUACCACAAAAGAUCCUGAAUAGCUAAGGCAAUCUGGAGAAAGAAGAAGAAAGUUAGAGUCAUCGCACUCCCUGAUUUCAAAUGAUACUGCAAAGCCAUACUAAUCAAAACUCGAUGGUAUUGACAUAAAAACAGACACAGAAACCAAUGGAACAAAAUAGCCCCAAAAUAAGCUCACGAAAAUAUGGCUAACUAAUUUUCAACAAGGACCCCAAGAAUACACAAUGGGGAAAGAUAGUCUAAAUAAAUGGUUUUGGAAAAACUGGAUAUCCACAUGCAAAAGAAUAAAAGUAGGCCUUUAUCUCACACCAUAUACAAAAGUCAGCUCAAAAUGGAUUAAAGACUUAAAUAUAAGACCUUAAACCAUAAAACUCCUACAAGGAAACAUAGAGAAAAAUCUCCUUGAAGAAGAUUCAAGGAUGAAUGUUUUUUGAUAAAGAUUUUUAUGAUGAUCUGCUUCCACUUAAUGAAUAAAGUCCACUUAAUGUCUUGGCAAUGAUUUUUUUGGAUAUAACACCAAAUGCACAAGCAACAAAUGCAAAAAUAAACAAGUGGGACUAGAUUAAACUAGAAGCUUCUGCACAGGAAAGGAAUGAAUCAAUGAAAUGAAAAAGCAACCAACAGAAUGGGAGAAAAUACAACCCAUAUAUCUGAUAAGGGUGUUAGUAUACAAAAUAUAUUAGGGACACAUAUAACUCUAUAGCAAAAGAUGAAUAACCUGAUUAAAAAUGGGCAAAGGACUUGAAUAGAUAGUUUUUGAAAGAGGACAUACAUACAAAUGUCCAAUAGGUAUAUGAAAAGGUACCCAACAUCACUAUCAUCAGGGAAAUGCAAAUCAAAACUAGAAUGAGAUUUCAUCUCACAUCUGUUAGGGUGGCUAUUGUCAAAAACAUGAGAUAACAAGUGUUGGUGAGGAUGUGGAGAAAAGAGAACUCUUAUACACUGUUCAUGGGAAUGCAAAUUGAUGUACCUAUUAUGGAAAACAGUAUAGAGAUCCCUUAAAAAAUAAAAAAUAAAACUAUCAUAUGAUUCA